GCUGCAGCAUGUUAGCAUCUGUUCAGGGAGCAGAACCUGUUCCAGAACAACCCGAGCUGCAGCGGAGUGAGGCAAUAAAACGGAUUGUAAAACCCUGAAACAGGAAGACGUUUGGCUCCCAGCACAUCUGUGGAGUUUCCAGGAGCCCAGCAGCAUUCCCAGACCUGUUCGGGAGAAGGUGGGCUUUCCUGGACCGGAGGAAGGAAGAGAUGAGGCUGAAAACUGGGAUAAAAGCCACCACUACGCCCUCUGCUGGCGACAACAGGCAGUGCAGGAGCAUCACGCAGGAUCAGAACCAGGCUGGACCGACCUGUGCUCCCAGAAUAAAGAGGUAGCGCGUCGACAGCUGCAGCAGCGCGG